rnacentral:rRNA from 1 species
GACGAACGCUGGCGGCGUGCUUAACACAUGCAAGUCGAACGAAGAGCGACGGAAGCUUGCUUCUAUCAAUCUUAGUGGCGAACGGGUGAGUAACGCGUAAUCAACCUGCCCUUCAGAGGGGGACAACAGUUGGAAACGACUGCUAAUACCGCAUACGAUCUAACCUCGGCAUCGAGGAUAGAUGAAAGGUGGCCUCUACAUGUAAGCUAUCACUGAAGGAGGGGAUUGCGCCUGAUUAGCUAGUUGGAGGGGGAACGGCCCACCAAGGCGAUGAUCAGUAGCCGGUCUGAGAGGAUGAACGGCCACAUUGGGACUGAGACACGGCCCAGACUCCUACGGGAGGCAGCAGUGGGGAAUCUUCCGCAAUGGACGAAAGUCUGACGGAGCAACGCCGCGUGAGUGAUGACGGCCUUCGGGUUGUAAAGCUCUGUUAAUCGGGACGAAAGGCCUUCUUGCGAAUAGUGAGAAGGAUUGACGGUACCGGAAGAGAAAGCCACGGCUAACUACGUG